GCUCGUCGACCUACUACUUCGGCUCCUGAUGACACCGACGACGAGAGUGAUGAGGAUGAUUAUGUAGAUCUCACUCCCUAGUUUAGAUCUCUGGACAUUUAUGAACUUUUUGAAAUUUUAAAACGAAUUUUAAAAGACUUUAUAAGUCUUUAAUUUAUGAUUUAAAUACUUUUGAAUGUAAUUUUAAGUUUGUUAUUUUAUGUUUUGUUUGGACUGUUUAUAAUUGUGUGUGUUUGAUUGGGCUGAAUAGUGUAGAAUUGAAUUGAAUUGAAUUUGCAGGUGGGCAGCAGAAGC
rnacentral:lncRNA from 1 species